rnacentral:rRNA from 1 species
GACGAACGCUGGCGGCGUGCUUAACACAUGCAAGUCGAACGGAAAGGCCCUGCUUUUGUGGGGUGCUCGAGUGGCGAACGGGUGAGUAACACGUGAGUAACCUGCCCUUGACUUUGGGAUAACUUCAGGUAACGGGGGCUAAUACCGUAUAGGAGCUCCUGCUGCAUGGUGGGGGUUGGAAAGUUUCGGCGGUUGGGGAUGGACUCGCGGCUUAACAGCUUGUUGGUUGGGUAGUGGCUUACCAAGGGUUUGACGGGUAGCCGGCCUGAGAGGGGGACCGGCGACAAGAGUCCUGCGGGAGGGACCAGACGCGUAUAGGAGGCAACAGGGGGGAAUAUUACCCAAUGGGCCGGAGCCUGUUGAGGCAGCGCCGGGUGCGGAAUGCCGGCCUGCGGGUAGUGAACCGCUGUCGCUUGUGACGACGCGGGUGUGACGGUAAUGAGUAAAGAAGCACCGGCUAACUACGUG